ACACUGCGAAUGGCUCAUUAUAUAAGUUAUCGUUUAUUUGAUAAUACUUUACUACUUGGAUAACCGUGGUAAUUCUAGAGCUAAUACAUGCUAAAAAUCCCGACUUCGGAAGGGUUGUAUUUAUUAGAUUAAAAACCAAUGCCCCUCGGGGCUCUCUGGUGAAUCAUGAUAACUAGUCGAAUCGACAGGCCUUGUGCCGGCGAUGGCUCAUUCAAAUUUCUUCCCUAUCAACUUUCGAUGUUUGGGUCUUGUCCAAACAUGGUGGCAACGGGUAACGGAGGGUUAGGGCUCGACCCCGGAGAAGGAGCCUGAGAAACGGCUACUACAUCCAAGGAAGGCAGCAGGCGCGCAAAUUACCCAAUCCCGACACGGGGAGGUAGUGACAAUAAAUACUGAUACAGGGCUCUUUUGGGUCUUGUAAUCGGAAUGAGUACAAUUUAAAUCCCUUAACGAGGAACAAUUGGAGGGCAAGUCUGGUGCCAGCAGCCGCGGUAAUUCCAGCUCCAAUAGCGUAUAUUAAAGUUGUUGUGGUUAAAAAGCUCGUAGUUGAACCUUGGGCCUGGCUGGCCGGUCCGCCUCACCGCGUGCACUGGUCCGGCCGGGCCUUUCCCUCUGCGGAACCCCAUGCCCUUCACUGGGUGUGGCGGGGAAACAGGACUUUUACUUUGAAA
rnacentral:rRNA from 1 species